GUGACCCUCAAGGCGGAGAGCGAGCGAGCGCCGGGCCCAGUAACGCAGCCCAGUCGAUGUGUUUUCCGCCUCAUUAAUUUCUCCCUCAAACUUUAACCCCCCCCCCCCCCCGGGUGCCCCCUCCCCGGCUGCCACCCACUGCCAGCCUUCUCUCCUCCUCUUGCUGUCCUUUUCUCUCUUUCACACUCCCCAACUCCUCCUUCUGCCUCCGCUUUCUCCAAUUGUCAUCCCCGGAUAGGCCCGGCACGAGUGUCCAUCACCUCCCCCAAAACACCCCCUCCUUAAAAAAAAUAUAAUCCUUUCAUUCAAUUGAACUUGGGCAAAGUUUUGUAAGAGGUGGAGAAAGGGGGGACAGAGGCAUAAAAUCCAUGGGGGAGACUGGGCUGAGCGGAGCAAAGACGUCUCUGAGGCUGGAAACCACCCCGGCGGUCUUCUCCUCAUGAAGCUUGCCUUUUGGACCCCCAAACUUGGCACCUAAGGACCCCCACCUAUCACCCAGGAAAAGGAGGAAGAAGUCAAGAAAGUGUUGGAGAAGACAAGGGACCACGUUGUUUUGUGUCGCGGAAAGAGACCCAUCAACGUCAACUCCACCUGGUUUGCUCUUCAACCUUUUUCCCAGGAUCAAGGUGAGAAAACUGAUCCGUCUCUCCACAAUGCUGCCUUUGUCUGCCACUUUGGGGUUCUUGUUGCCAGCCUUCCCUCCUUGUUGUGUAUCCAAAAACUGCAUCUGGGUUUCAAGAGAAAAGCCUUGACUUUCUGCAAGCAGGAUUGAGGAAUUGUCUGGAUGGAAGGAUAGCACCACAAUCUAGGUCAAUGAUGGGCAAGCUUUUGUGCUUGGUGUGUCAAAAUUCACCAAAAAAAAAAACAACCUAGCAUAACUUGGGUGGUGUGUCACUUUGAGAGAAAAACCAUAAUUUCACAAUAUAUAUCGUUUAAAUAACAAAAAUAUAUAAUCUAUAUAUAUAAAAGGGUAAUGAAAUUUCGGCCUAGGACAAAACAACAAAACUACACAUCCCAGAAACACUAAACUUGGCAGCACAACCCCUCAUCCAUGCCUCUGCGUUCAUACAACAAAAAGAAAAGAAAAAUAAAGUCCUAAUUACAGGGAGAGGAAUAAUUGCUUUUAUCCAAUUGCUGCCACUUAGAAGGCUAAGCUCCGCCCACUUGGCCUCGUAGCAACCUACUCAGCCCAGGGGACAGGUAGAGUUAGGCCUCACUUAGGCCUCUUCCACACUGCCUAUAAAAUACAGAUUAUUUGAUUUUAACUGGAUUAUAUGGCAGUGCAGACUCAAGGCCCUUCCACACAGCUAUAUAACCCAUUUAUAAUGGACUUAAUGUCAGGAGAAAACCUUUACCCUUUACCUUAACUACCACCAAUUCCUCAAUACUUUAUUUCCCAUACCACCAGACUUCUCCACAGCAACGUGUGGCUGGGCACAGCUAGUCUAUAUAUAUAAAAGGGUAAUGAAAUUUCGGCCGAGGACAAAACAACAAAACUACACAUCCCAGAAACACUAGACUUGGCAGCACAACCCCUCAUCCAUGCCUCUACGUUCAUACAACAAAAACAGCUACUCCAGAAAACGGCCAGGCUUUGAGACUGCAAGGCUAUUCACUGCUAUUCCACCUGGCCAACAAAGGAUUCCCAUAAGCCACAGCAACGCAUGGCCGGACAAAGCUAGUUGUAAUAUAUAACUGUAUUUAAUAAAUCAAAAACUAUUUUCUACCCUUAUUUCCAUGUACAACAAUCUAUGGGACCUCUUGCAGUUUCCACGCUGAUUUCUCUCUAUUGUAGUUUCAAUGUAGUCAUGAAUAAUGAAUAAUAUAAUA
rnacentral:lncRNA from 11 species